AGUGAACGCUGGCGGUAGGCCUAACACAUGCAAGUCGAACGGCAGCACAGUAAGAGCUUGCUCUUACGGGUGGCGAGUGGCGGACGGGUGAGGAAUACAUCGGAAUCUACUUUUUCGUGGGGGAUAACGUAGGGAGACUUACGCUCAUACCGCAUACGACCUACGGGUGAAAGCAGGGGAUCUUCUGACCUUGCGCGAUUGAAUGAGCCGCUGUCGGUUUAGCUGGUUGGCGGGGUAAAGACCCACCAAGGCGACGAUCGGUAGCUGGUCUGAGAGGAGGGUCACCCGCCCGAGAGGGUGGACACGGUCCAGACUCCUGCGAGAGGCAGCAGUGGGGAAUAUGGGACAAUGGGCGGGAGCCUGAUCCAGCCAUACCGCGUGGGUGAAGAAGACCUUCGGGUUGUAAAGACGUUUUUUUGGGAAAGAAAAGCAGCCGGUUGAUACGACGCUGUUCUGACGGUACCCAAAGAAUAAGCACCGGCUAACUUCGUG
rnacentral:rRNA from 1 species